rnacentral:tRNA from 1 species
GGGAGUUUAGCUCAGUUGGUUCAGAGCAUCUGCCCGCGCGGCGUCCGCUUACAAGCAGAGGGUCGGGGACGGUCCGCCGCGGUUCGAAUCCCUCAACUCCCA